UACGUAGGUGGCAAGCGUUGUCCGGAUUUACUGGGCGUAAAGAGCGCGCAGGCGGUCGAAUAAGUCGAAUGUGAAAGCCCCCGGCUCAACUGGGGAGGGUCACGCGAUACUGUUCGACUCGAAGGCAGGAGAGGGAAGCAGAAUUCCCGGUGUAGUGGUGAAAUGCGUAGAUAUCGGGAGGAAUACCAGUGGCGAAGGCGGCUUCCUGGCCUGUUCUUGACGCUGAGGCGCGAAAGCUAGGGUAGCAAACGGG
rnacentral:rRNA from 1 species